UGUUUAUCUCUAGGGUUGAUCUAUUAGAAUUACUUAUCUGAGCCAAAGUAAUUCAAGUAAUUCAGGUGUAGUGAAAC